rnacentral:rRNA from 1 species
AUGACCAAGAGGCAGACAGUGGAGGCGCUAGAUAAAAGCAUGCGGGACAUAAUGGACAGACCGUACCUUCCAUUCGGUGGAAAAACAAUUGUAUUUGGAGGAGAUUUUAGGAAAGUACUACCUAUUGUCCGAAAGGGAACAAGAGCCCAGAUAGUAGAUGCAUCACUACGCAGGUCGGUCCUUUGGAAUUCAAUGCGUCAAUUGAAGCUUGUGCGCAACAUGAGGGCUCAAAACGACCCAUGGUUCGCAGAAUACCUACUACGCAUUGGAAACGGAACCAAGGAGACAAAUGAUGAUGGUGAAAUACAACUACCUACAAGUAUAUGUGUGUCAAGUAAGGAUGACAAUGGCCUGGAUAAACUAAUCGACAAUGUCUACCAAACGGACAAAGAUUCACUAAAAGAUCCAAAGUACAUCACGUCAAGAGCAAUUUUAUCCACAAGGAAUGACUCCGUGGACAAAAUAAACCUAAAAAUGAUUGAUCGUUUCCAGGGGGAGGAGAUGGUGUACCACAGCUUCGAUUCAGUAGAAGACGACCCACAUAACUACUAUCCACCAGAAUUCCUGAACACUCUCACACCAAAUGGACUACCUCCCCAUAUGUUGAAGCUAAAAAUAAAUUGCCCAAUCAUACUACUCAGGAACAUCGACCCUGCUAAUGGACUAUGCAACGUCACAAGGUUGGUCGUACGUGGAUUCCAACAAAAUGCAAUUGAUGUAGAGAUUGUGGUGGGACAGUACUCUGGAACACGAGUUUUCCUACCUAGGAUACCCUUAUGCCCCUCAGAUGAUGACAUGUUUCCGUUCAGUUUCAAGAGGAAACAGUUUCCAGUCAGACUCAGUUUUGCAAUGACAAUAAAUAAAUCACAAGGCCAAACAAUACCAAAUGUUGGCAUCUACCUGCCUGAACCGGUUUUCUCACAUGGUCAGCUAUAUGUUGUGCUGUCAAGAGCAACUGCAACAUCAAACAUAAAGGUGCUAACAAGUACACAUGAUGUCAGCAAGCAGAAGAAUAAAAAGAUCACUACAGAAAACACAUACGCAAAGGGAGAGAAGAAAAAGAGGAAAAGGAAGACCAAUACAAGCGGGACAUAUACGAAAAAUAUUGUCUACACGGAAAUCCUAACAAAAUAG